GUAGGUGGCAAGCGUUGUCCGGAAUUAUUGGGCGUAAAGCGCGCGCAGGGCGGUCCUUUAAGUCUGAUGUGAAAGCCCACGGCUCAACCGUGGAGGGUCAUUGGAAACUGGGGGACUUGAGUACAGAAGAGGAAAGCGGAAUUCCAAGUGUAGCGGUGAAAUGCGUAGAGAUUUGGAGGAACACCAGUGGCGAAGGCGGCUUUCUGGUCUGUAACUGACGCUGAGGCGCGAAAGCGUGGGGAGCAAGAAGGAUUAGAUACCCUGGUAGUCCACGCCGUAAACGAUGAGUGCUAAGUGUUAGGGGGUUUCCGCCCCUUAGUGCUGCAGCUAACGCAUUAAGCACUCCGCCUGGGGAGUACGGCCGCAAGGCUG
rnacentral:rRNA from 1 species